CAUUGACUCGACGAAGCCUGAGUCUUGUCUUCUCUGUCGUUAGACGCGAACUUAGUGGAGAGCAAAGGUGUCUGAUAAGGUGUUAAGAGUAGAAAGAGAGACAGAGAGAAUGAAUAUAUGGAUUCUCUUCAUUUAUUGAAUGAAUGGUCUGGUUACAUAUUUAUACAAAGGGAAAGGACAUGCCCAAAGGGCAUCAUGUCCCUUGGGAGUCGUUGGCCCCUUCAUGAAAAUGUUUCACAACAUAGCUCACAGUGAUGUCUGCUUUGGAUAUGUAGCCCACGAGCGGCACCCCCACGCUCGGGCUCUUAUCAAUCCGCUAAGCUAUCAUUCAUACUCGUACACACCGCCGCUAUGGCCUACUCCCUCCGUCCCAGUUUAAGUGCAGUUGUAACAUUCAAAAAAAGUCCCAAAUUAAAUGCUACAAUAGCACAUACUCCUAGGUGCUCACCCGUUCACCGUUCAUUGCUGGUCUGGACACCUAUGCACGUGGGCCCAUUUGUAAAAAAAAUCUGAAGCUCCUAGCGAGUUAGCCAUCCUCCGCCUAAUAUGAAAAGUUCUAGGUCCUUCCCACCGCUCUUUCCAGCUUCUUCCCCAUUGCUCGCAUCAUGUUGCCUCGAUUCUUGCCUCGCAUCUAGCACAUCAGCCCCCAGCGACACCUCAACGCUCCCUCCCUUCUCCUUCUGCAUGCGUUCUAGAUUUCC
rnacentral:lncRNA from 1 species